rnacentral:lncRNA from 1 species
UGGAAGUGUCACAGACAGUUAUAACACGUCUGUUCAUUGUGAUAAAUAUAAAUUUAUUAGGUUGCCAUUUUGUAAACAUAGACAAUGCAAUUUCCAAUACGAACUCCCUAUACGGCUAAAACUUUGUCACUUCUGUCAUGAAGUUUCGUAAACAAUUAUAUCCCAGAACGGAAAGUUGAUAUGCCCUAAUUUUUUUUUAUUCUAAGGUCAAAACAUAAGGCUGUGUGGCAUAUGCCCCGAACUAAAAGUUUAAACUUAUACUAAAAGUCUGCACUACCACUUCCUUCACUUUAAGUCUCACUCACAAUUCAAUUCCAACGCCUUUCAUGAUCAUUUCUACUGGUAACAUUCCCAAGUUAUGUCUCUGAGAUAAAACAUAGGGAUAAUAUCUGGGAACAAGUAAGUAAAAAGAUACACAAUUCCUUUGAAUAAUAUAUAUCUCCCCAAAAGAGGCGUGGUUUAUGAAACAGCUAUAUUUACAAAUUGCAACCUAUAAUGCAUGAAAUAUCAUGCAUAUACCAACUGAAUUACUAAGAAUUAUGUCGUUUCAUUCUUGCGAUAUUAUAUCACUGUUGAAUACUUCCCGUUCAAUUGUUAUACAAUUGUCAAAAGAAAAGGGAAACACAAUACUGCAAUUAAAGAAACGCAUCAUAGAUACCAGGAUUGAAAUUUUAUAUUUGCGCCAGAUGCACGUUUCGUCUACAAAACACUAAAAAGCGACGCUCGAAAAAAAAAAAUGUUAUGAAGAUCAUAAAAAAGUAAAAAAAAUCAUAAAGUUUUGCCAAAUACAGCUCAAGUUAUGUAUUUCUGAGGUAGAAAAAACAAAUUUCAAUGCUGUGUCUAUGAUGAGUUUAUUCACUACUAACAGCUAAGUUUCAACUGUAUUUCACAUUACGCCUAUCAAGGCGGAAAUUGUUAUGCUUGAUAUAUAAAUUGGAACCAUAUCGUUUUUUUGUUAUUCUAUGC